GGUCCGAGCCGCCGCCGCCCGCCGCGGGCAGCAGCGCCGUGAGGGGCUGCCCCGUUCCCGGGCCCUGCCGUUACCUGGGAGAGCCGGGGCUAUUUUUAACCUGGAUGUGUUCUGUGAUCUGUUUCCCACACAGCACAGAAACUGGCACAGCUGAGGGCAGCAUCACUACAGCCACAUUUGAGUCUGUGCUGCUUUAAUUGUACCAGAGGAGUUAAAAGGAAAGAACUGAG